rnacentral:rRNA from 1 species
AUUGAACGCUAGCGGGAUGCCUUACACAUGCAAGUCGAACGGCAGCACGGACUUCGGUCUGGUGGCGAGUGGCGAACGGGUGAGUAAUGUAUCGGAACGUGCCCAGUAGCGGGGGAUAACUACGCGAAAGCGUAGCUAAUACCGCAUACGCCCUACGGGGAAAGGCAGGGGAGUCGCAAGACCUUGCACUAUUGGAGCGG